CAGGGAAUCUUGCACAAUGGGCGAAAGCCUGAUGCAGCGACGCCGCGUGGGGGAUGAAGGCCCUAGGGUCGUAAACCCCUUUCAGCAGGGACGAAGAUGACGGUACCUGCAGAAGAAGCCCCGGCCAACUACGUGCCAGCAGCCGCGGUAAGACGUAGGGGGCGAGCGUUGUCCGGAUUUAUUGGGCGUAAAGAGCUCGUAGGCGGUUGCGUAAGUCGGAUGUGAAAACUCAGGGCUCAACCCUGAGACGCCAUCCGAUACUGCGCUGACUUGAAUCCAGUAGGGGAGUGCGGAAUUCCUGGUGUAGCGGUGAAAUGCGCAGAUAUCAGGAGGAACACCCAUGGCGAAGGCAGCACUCUGGGCUGGUAUUGACGCUGAGGAGCGAAAGCAUGGGUAGCGAACAGGAUUAGAUACCCCGGUAGUCCCUGAGCGGGCUGGCAAGGCGCAU
rnacentral:rRNA from 1 species